GCAGUAAGGCUGGAAAUAGGCAAAUCCGUUUCCCAUAAGGCUGAGCUGUGAUGGCGAGCGAAAUAUAGUAGCGAAGUUCCUGAUUCCACACUGCCAAGAAAAGCCUCUAGCGAGGUGAGAGGUGCCCGUACCGCAAACCGACACAGGUAGGCGAGGAGAGAAUCCUAAGGUGAUCGAGAGAACUCUCGUUAAGGAACUCGGCAAAAUGACCCCGUAACUUCGGGAGAAGGGGUGCUCUGUUAGGGUGCAAGCCCGAGAGAGCCGCAGUGAAUAGGCCCAGGCGACUGUUUAGCAAAAACACAGGUCUCUGCGAAGCCGUAAGGCGAAGUAUAGGGGCUGACGCCUGCCCGGUGCUGGAAGGUUAAGAGGAGCGCUUAGCGUAAGCGAAGGUGCGAAUUGAAGCCCCAGUAAACGGCGGCCGUAACGAUAACGGUCCUAAGGUAGCGAAAUUCCUUGUCGGGUAAGUUCCGACCCGCACGAAAGGCGCAACGAUCUGGGCACUGUCUCAACGAGAGACUCGGUGAAAUUAUAGUACCUGUGAAGAUGCAGGUUACCCGCGACAGGACGGAAAGACCCCGUGGAGCUUUACUGCAGCCUGAUAUUGAAUGUUGGUACAGCUUGUACAGGAUAGGUAGGAGCCUUGGAAACCGGAGCGCCAGCUUCGGUGGAGGCAUCGGUGGGAUACUACCCUGGCUGUAUUGACCUUCUAACCCGCCGCCCUUAUCGGGCGGGGAGACAGUGUCAGGUGGGCAGUUUGACUGGGGCGGUCGCCUCCUAAAAGGUAACGGAGGCGCCCAAAGGUUCCCUCAGAAUGGUUGGAAAUCAUUCGCAGAGUGUAAAGGCACAAGGGAGCUUGACUGCGAGACCUACAAGUCGAGCAGGGACGAAAGUCGGGCUUAGUGAUCCGGUGGUUCCGCAUGGAAGGGCCAUCGCUCAACGGAUAAAAGCUACCCCGGGGAUAACAGGCUUAUCUCCCCCAAGAGUCCACAUCGACGGGGAGGUUUGGCACCUCGAUGUCGGCUCAUCGCAUCCUGGGGCUGUAGUCGGUCCCAAGGGUUGGGCUGUUCGCCCAUUAAAGCGGUACGCGAGCUGGGUUCAGAACGUCGUGAGACAGUUCGGUCCCUAUCCGUCGCGGGCGCAGGAAAUUUGAGAGGAGCUGUCCUUAGUACGAGAGGACCGGGAUGGAUGCACCGCUGGUGUACCAGUUGUUCUGCCAAGGGCAUCGCUGGGUAGCUAUGUGUGGACGGGAUAAGUGCUGAAAGCAUCUAAGCAUGAAGCCCCCCUCAAGAUGAGAUUUCCCAUUCCGCAAGGAAGUAAGAUCCCUGAAAGAUGAUCAGGUUGAUAGGUCUGAGGUGGAAGUGUGGCGACACAUGGAGCUGACAGAUACUAAUCGAUCGAGGACUUAACC
rnacentral:rRNA from 1 species